rnacentral:rRNA from 1 species
AUGAUCAUCCUCUUACUACUCAUUCUUGGCUUCAAGCCAUUGGUCACCGCCGCCGAUCCAUUGGUGUGGCGCUGCGACUCCCAUUUCGGCAACGAAGCCUACAAAGCUAACAUUAAACUCCUAUCUGCUGCACUAUCUAUGAGUAUCUCAUCCACACAAACUAUCUUUGCCAAGGGCUUCACCGGAACCAAACAAGACCGCGUUUAUGGCACCGUGCAGUGCCGCGGCGAUGUCAGCGCAUCUGCCUGCCCCAGCUGCAUCACCACAGCAUUCCGCAACAUUGGGUGGCCGUGCAUACUCGAAACGGUCACAGCUGUCUUAUAUGAGGACUGCAUCGUCCACAUCUCCCAGGAAGACCUUAUCUACGACUCCAGUGAUAUGCUAAAAAGGUUACUGGUCUUCACGAACACAACGGAACGCACUGUGAGUCUCAGCAUUCACUUGGAAGCGAGUCUUAUGUACAACAGCUCCCGGAUUGAUGGCAACAUCAAGGUGCUGCUCCAAGAGACAGCCAAACAGGCAGCCUACAACUCCACAAUGAUGUACGCCACCGGCCGCCUGGAUGUCUUCCGCGCACUCCCGCUGCUCUACUCUCUGGCGCAGUGCAACCUGGACCUACCACCGAAUGAUUGCUGGGAUUGCCUCAAGAAUAUCAGCAGCGCGGCAAAGAGUUUCUUCAAAGAGCAACAUGGUGAAUGGAUUUCUGGUACGUGGUGCAAUUUCAGGUACAGCACGAAUCAGUUCUAUGAGGGCCAGCCCAUGCAGCAGAUCGACUGGUCGGAUGAUGUGGAUCCAACAACAAACAUGCCGGCACGCAUGCCAGCGCCAGGGCCGGUUGGUGUUCCCAGGCAGAAAGACGAGGAUAAGCCGGUGGUUGUCGUGCCCAGACAGAAACACAAGAGUAAGCAAGACAAUAUGAUAAUUUCUUUCGCCAAAAUUAGGUGGUCUUACCUUUUUGUUGUUCUAAAGUGA